UUUUGAGACUAAGGUAAAAGGCUAGAGGACACCUUUCAGGAGGAGACACAACAUUGGGUUCAAGAAUCAUCAUCACAGGCAGAUGAUGCAAGUAUAAAUGUACUGCAUCCUGUGUUGGAGGAUGUACUACUUGAAUCAUCACUUGAAAAAAGUACGCUGUUUUGUUACGGGACUAGCAGAAAAGGCAAAGUAAUUGUUUCUUUUUCUUUUUUGAACAAUACUGAAUUAAUGAUUUUGGUUUCUUACAAUUGUAUCUCCCUUGUUCUUUGUGUUAUUUUACAGAGAGUUUUAAAGGAAGCCAGCAGCAAGUGGUGUUUGGAGCAGCCAAGUGUGCUGCUUGGUUCUGUUCAGC